ACUGGGAGUUUCAGACAGUGUUGGGAAUACUCACUUGCAUGAAGUUAUACUUACUAGCUACUAUAGUAAGUAUAACUUUAUGCAAGUGAGUAUUCCCAACACUGUCUGAAACUCCCAGUAAC
rnacentral:pre_miRNA from 1 species